GCCGUCGACCCCACGCCACGUAGAGGUGAAGAUACGCAGGACGUCCUCUAAAGCAACUUCCGUGGGUGCCAGGUUAUGGGCUGGGGGCGGUGCUGACCUUGAGAGAGCGGAGGAAGCGCAGGCGCAGCACAGGUGGCAGUUGAAGCCGGAAGAACAUCUACCAAGAGCAGAGAACCCAGGAAGAAAAUUCUGCCUGUUUAAUACGUUCCAAUAUGGACGUUUUCCAUAUAGAUAGCUAUCUAUAUAGAUAGAUGCUCUGGGAUCUGACAGUCCUGGACACCUGCAUGGCUGUGUGCCGUGGUCUUUGCCUAGCCUGCCGUUCACUGUUGCUCUGGCCACCACCUCCCCUCAUGUACAGACCGCGUCUCUGCUCUGCCAGUCUUGGCCCCCGUCGGGCAGCGGUUCACUCCCUCACCAGGGAUGUCUAGAUAGAUAGAUAUAGAUAGAUAUCGAUAGAUAGAUAUAGAGAUAGAUAGAUAUAGAUAGGUAGAUAUAUGGAUAUAGAGAUAUAGAUAUAGAUAUUUAGAUAGAUAUAUAGACAUCUAUCUAUAGAUAUAUCGAUAUAUAUCGAUAUAUCGGGAUUCUCAGCCAUCCCAAAGAAGCUUGCACAGGGCCAGUUGCUUUAUAAUAGGAAAGGGGACACAGACUGAGUGUAUGAGCGGUUUUUUUUUUUUCUGUAGAUGUAUAGAUAUCUAUAUCAGAUGCAAAUAAGUGAAACUCUCAUACACCUUUUAAUUUUGUGUUUUUUCCAAACUCUAUUCCAUUCAACUUUUUCUGCCUUUUUAUUUGAUUAUAAUGAGACAUCGUACUGGAGGCAGGCUUGAAAUGGAUAUACAGAGCACUUUCAACCCAGAAAUUUGUCUCACGACUUGGGGAUCCUUACUUAAGUUGUAGCUGUUAGUAAUUUCAUCCAUGAAUUCACUUUGUGCCAUAGUGUGAUGUUUUGUUAUGAAGUUGGAAUUGGGAAGGGAAACUAGGAAGUUUUGGGAGAAGUUAAGAAGGUUGAGUAGGCAGGCGUUGUUAUAGAUAUUAAAUUUCACCCUGCUUAUCAAAGUACCUGGAGGGUAUGGUAUCCAAGCUGUAAAUGGCCCAAAGGAAUCGGGGUUCUCAGCCAUCCAAAAGAAGCAUGCACGGGGCCAGUUACUUUAUGUCAGGAAAGGGGACACAGACUGAGUGUAUGAGGGUUUUUUUGUUGUUGUUUUUUUUUAGUUUAAACUUGGUUUUGUGGGGGGACGAACAGCGUGACAAUUAAAGAAGAUGUAGGAAUCGUAAGUACUGACAGAAUAGCUGGAGGGACGGUGGGACUGGAAAAUAGUUUGUGAAACAGAUCCUGCUGAGGAUGAAUCCAGAACUUCCUGAAGGGUUCCGCUUCUGCUGUGUAGGGACAAGGUUGUAAAUAGACAAGCCACAGGGCACCUGCAAAUGGUAAGUGUGGUAGAGAGGAGCUGGAAUUGUCUGUUGGUGUAUCUGUGGGAAGCAGCUGCUAUCCUUGAGGAAGAAAAGAUGGAGAAGGUAAGUGGCUAUCAACCUGUCAGAGACAACACAUUCUGUGAAGUUGUACUCUUUGAUUUCUGACACUGUGGUUCUUAAUGUCUGUCCUAAACCUGGCAGUCAUUGAGGUUCGCAAAGUAUCUCCUUCUAUGUGACAGUAAAACUGGAAUUACUAUCAGAAUGGAAUCCAUUCCUGCCAGAGUAAAACCAUGAAAAGAAAUCGCAGUUUUGAUUAUCUGCUUAUCAUUUUUAAUAGAUCACGGAGUUCGGUGUUCCUUAUUUGGUGUAUGGCAAGUUGAUAAAUAAUUCUUGAUUAAUAUCCUUUAAUGUUCUAUUUCACACAGUUCUCUCAAUUACAUGUGAAAAAUCUGUUAUAUAAGUAAUGCUAUUUAAUGAUUAAAAUGGAUAUAUGUUUUAAGGUAGUGCCACCCAGUCUUUUUUAUUUUGUAGAAUAAUAUUAUUAUCUAUUGGUUCCCUGCCUUGAAGUACAGCAAUUUCCCUGUUUCCAUUAUUUAAAUAGGUGGGUGUCUUUGACGAAGAUACAAAGAAAGGGGACAGUUAUGAAAAGAUAGAUGGAGAUGAAAAGAAAUUCAGUAGUUUCAGCAAGGGAAUUAGGAGCAUAAUCUUUGAGAAAAGUCUUGGUUGCUUACCAUUCGGGCUUUGUGAUGAGUUGAAAUGUCCUGAGUGAGAACUGUUCUCAAAUGCUUUCAAGACCAACAAAAAGUUACAAUACCCACACUGACCUGGAACUCUUUCAGCCAUUGAGAUAUAUCACUUUUUCGCAGUUCAGUCCAUAUUUUUUGCAAAAUGUUCUGCUUAGUUUUUCUGCUAAGAAAUUACUGUUUCUGAACAAGGAUAAGUGUCAUAUGAUUUCAUUGUAAUUUUUUUUGCCCUAACAUAUACUGUUUUCCUAAUUAGACUAUAAAUUCCUCCACAGCUGGGACCUUGUUUUGUUUUCUCACCUUCCCCUUAAGAAAUAUCAUUUAAGUGAAUGUUGUAAACAGUUACUUCAUUUAAAUUGCCCUUAAAAUGCUUAAUGACAAAGACGUUAUUUGUAGUAAUACCUAUAAUGGUAAAAAGUUUGUUGCAGUCUUACAUACGAUAAGAUUAAUCAACUGUUAUAUAUGCUUAGUGGAACUUUAUCUAGCUCUUCUAAAGAGCCAUUAGACUAGUCUUUCUAAUGGAAAAUGUUUAUUGUCUAAGUUAAAACAGCAUUUUAGGCCAGGCACAGUGGCUCACUCCUGUUAUUGCAGCACUUUGGGAGGCUGAGGUGGGAGGAUCACUAGAGCACAAGAGUUGGAGACUAGCCUAGGCAAUAUAGUGAGACCUCUUCUCUACAAAAAAUUUAAAAAUUAGCUGAGUGUGAUGGGGUGUGCCCGUAGUUGCAGGUACUCAGGAGACUGAGGUGGGAGGAUCACUUGGGUCCAAGAGGUAGAUGUUGCAGUAAACCAAGAUCAUGCCACUGCACUGCAGCCUGGGCAACAGAGCAAGAUCCUGUGUCAAAAAAUUAAAAAGCAUUUUAUAGACUGCAUGUUUGUGUCCCCCCUCCCUCCGCACCAGAAUUCAUAUAUUGAAGCCCUAAUCUCCAAUGACAUGAUAUUAGUAGGUGGGGCCUUUGGGGGGGGUGAUUAAAUAAUAAGGGUGAAGCCCUGCAUGGGAUUAGUUCCUUUACAACAAGAGACCCUAGACAGCUUGCUUCCCCUCUUUCUUUGCUCUUCACCAUGUGAGGACACAGCAAGAAAACAGACAACUACAAAUCAGGAAGAGGGCCUAAUUUGUGCCAACCAUGCUGGCACUCUUCUCUAACUUCCCAGCCUCCAGAACUGUGAGAAAUAAAUUUCUGUUGUUUAAGUCACCCAGUUUAUGGUAGUUUGGUUAUAGCUGCCCAUAUUAAGACAGCAGGAUGCAAAAUUGUGCCUAGUAUGAUUGCUUUGACAUGAAACAAAUUUUAAGCAUAAAUUGUAAAAAGUAACCAAAACAUAUCAAUCCCCGUUGCUGGUGUUAACACUCUCAAAGAAACUUUGUGUGUUGGGGGAUUGUAUUUAUUUAUUUAUUUAUUCUUUAUGCUGACCAUAGUGGCUGGUGCCUGUCAUCCCAGCACUUUGGGAGGCCAAGUCGGGCAGAUCACUUGAGGCCAGGAAUUCAAGACCAGCCUGGCCAACAUGGCAAAACCCCCUCUUUACAAAAAUAUAAAAAUUAACCAGGCAUGGUGGCACACCCCUGUAGCCCCAGCUACUUGGGAGGCUGAGGUGGGAGGAUCACUUGGGCCUGUGAAGCAGAGGUUGCAGAGAGCUGUGAUGGCACCACUGCACUCCAGUCUGUGUGACAGAGCGAGACUAUCUCAAGAAAAAAAAAAAAAGGAUGAGGUUUUUUUUGUUUUCAACAUGCUUUUUAACAUCCACUAUAUUACUCUCAUCUUUCUAGGUUGGAAAAAAAUGUUUUAAGUGUUAUUCUGAAGUAUAUUGCAACCUUUAACAAUUCAAUAGACUUCUGAAUUUUUAUUUUCAUGUAGCUUACCACAGUUGUAUCUAGGAAUAUAUCACAUAGCUGAUUAAUUGGUGAAAUAACCCUUGCAAUUUUACACAGGUUGUACAAUGCACAUUUUCAAGGACCACUCACGUACAUCCAUUUGAUAUUUUUUGGUAUCAAGAAAGUCUUUAAACAGCCGGUACCACCAAGAGCAGUAAAAAGACAAAACUGUCUGAAAGUACCUAUCUGUUUAAAACUUUAAUUAGCUUUAUCCAUCCAUUAAAUAUUUACUGAAUAUCAAACUGUAUCAGUCACUCUUCUACACUCUGAGGAAAUAGUGGUAAAUAAAGCAGAUAUUGUCACUGCUAUCAGGAAAUUUACAUUUUAGUAGUAAUAAGCCAUAAAUUAACAAAAAUAGAAGAUAGUGGUAAGUACUAGGCAUGAAAUUCAAACAUGACUGUUUUAGAUUAGGUGAUUAAAGAAACUAAAAUACCAUUUAAACUGCUGUGUAAAUGACAAGAGAAUCCAGCUUUGUAAAAAUUGGGGAAACCUUUGCUUGCAGAAGGGACAACUGCAAAAUCUAAGGCAUGAUCUAGCCUGGAAUAUUUCAGGAGCCAAAAGAAGGCCUGCAUGGUUAGAAAAUAAUGACUUAAGAGGCAAAUACUGUAACUUUGGAGGGAUAGGAAAGGGCUAGAUCAUGUUACCUUUGGAAGACAGGAAAGAGUUUAGAUUUUAUUCUAUGUGCAAUGGAAAAAAAAGUUAGAGCAUUUUAAUGCAAAGAGUAAUGUAAGAUAAUAUAUUUUUUAAAUCCACUUUGAUAAUUUGUUAAUUGGCGUAAAGAGUCUGCUUACAUGUAACAUAAUUACUAACAUACUUGGAUUUAAAUUUGUCAUUAUUCUUAUUUUAUUUGUCCCACCUCUCAUAUGUUCAUUUUGUCUUGUUUUGCCUUUUUGAUUUUUUUCUUUUCUUAAUUAGGCCAUAGCACCUGAUAUUCCCAGGCAGACUCUCAUCCAAGUGCCAAUCAGCCCCAACCCUGCUUAGCUUCCCAGAUCAGAUGAGAACAGGCAUAUUCAGGGUGGUAUGACUAGAGACCUUUUAGAUUAUUUUUAAUUAUUCCAUUUUUUCUACCUCAUAAGCUUGACAGAUAUCUUUUAGUAUCUUUUUACUGUUCACCUCAGGUAUUAAAACAUGGAACCUUGGUUUAUCAUCUUUAGGAUAAUUUGGUAUUAUACUUCUUCCAGGACAAUGUAAGGACCUGCGAACGCAUCAACUUCAUUUACUGCCCAACCUCAUGUUAUAUACAUUGUAUAUUCUUAAUAUGUAUUUCCUAAAUUCUCAAGACAUUUUUUAUACAAUAUGAAUUUACAUUUCCCAAACAUUUACUUUCUCUAUUGUGUUUUGUGGUUCCUGGAAUCUGAGCUUCCAUCUAAGAUCUUAUUUCUUCUUGAAGGACAUACUUUAAUAUUUCUUUGAAUGUCUACUGGUAACAAUUCAUUCAGAUUUUCUGUCCUGACACUGUUUUAUUUUACUUUCAUUUUCGAAGAACCUUUUUGCUGAAUUAGCAGCUAUUUUAUCGUUUUGAAGAUAUAUUUUAUUCCUUCUGGCUUCCAUUAUGUCCUCUAAGACAUAAUGUCCAUUUUGUUUUUUUCUCUUCAAAGGUAAUCUUUUUUUGGAUGGCUACUUUUAAGAAGUUUGUCUUAAGUUUGGUGUGCCCACAUGUAUUUUGUGUUUGUUUUUUUGUGUGUGUGUUUUUUUUCCUCUUUGAGAUUUAUAAUGUUUCUUGAAUCUGGAUGUGAUGUCCUUAGGCUGUUUGAGAAAAUUCUUAGCUCUGUUUCAUCAGACAUUGCUUCUGCCUUCACUCUCCUUUCUCCUCUUCUUUUGAUACUCCACUUACAUGUGUAUUUGACAAUUCACUUUGUCCCUUGUAUUUUCCGUUUAUUUUCCUGUCUGUUUCAUCCUGAAUAGUUCUUCUUAACUUUCAGUUCACUAUUUUCUCUUAGUAGUCUCGAAUUUGUUAAAAAAAAAAAAAAAUCUCUCUUGAAGCAUUUAUUUUAGUUAUAUUUUUGGUUAUCAGUUCAAACAUUUCUACUUGAUUCUGUUUUAUUGUUUCCAGUUGUUUACCCAAUAUCUCAAUCUUUUAUUUCCUCAAACAUACUAAUCAUAAUUACUUUAAAACCUGUAUCUAAUAACUAUGGUGUCUGCUAUUAUCUGACACUUGUUUCUUGCUGUUAUCACAUUGUCUUGCUUUUAUGUCCCUUAUUUUUAUGUUAUUUUGUAUUAUUUAUUUUAUAAACAUUAUAAAUAUAUAAAACUUGGCUUAGGUUAUGUUUUAAUUGAAUGUCAGAAUUGUUUUGAUUGAAUUGUAUAUGAGGAAACUAUACUUUCAAGUCCAAUAUGAUGGUAUUUUCUAAAGAAAGAAUUUGCGUCUCCUGGCAAGACCUUUGGACACUAGUAAUCCAAGAUCAUCUUAAUCCAGUUAGUGAUAGAGACAAUUAGAAUAUAGGCAGGUCUACUUCCUGUUCAUACUUUCUCUCACAAUGUAGACCUCUGAAGCCCCAACUCAAGCAUGCAGAGUUUACCAGAUCAUGCCCUAAACUUCAGUUUUUGUCUUUUUAAUUCUAUGGGUUAGAAACUCUGUUCAACUUUUCAGCCAUUACCUCAGGAAUCAGAAGAUACUCCAGAGGAAAAGCUAAUAUAAAUGCUGGAUUCAACAACUCUGUUUUUUCCUUCUGAAUAUUUCAUUGUCUCUAAUGCUGUCAGAUGUUUGUUUUAUAUUUUGUCCAAGCUGAGUGUGGUGGCUCACGUCUAUAAUUUCAGCACCUUGGGAGGUCAAGGCGGGACCGUCCCUUGAGGCCAGGAAUUUGAGACUAGCCUAGGCAACAUAACGAGACCUUUGUCUCUUGGAAAAAAAUAAAUAAAUAAAUAUUAUUAGAAGUGAAAAUGGGGAUAUUGUUACAAAUGCUGUAGAGAUUGAUGAGAAAUUAUGAACAGCUUUAUAAUAAAUGGGAAAAUAUAAAUGAAGUAGGCAGUUCCAGAAAAAUGUAACUUUUCAAAAGCCAACAAGUAAUGGAAAAUAUAAAUGGUGGGAUGUUGAUGUAAGAAAUCAUGAUGCCCAGAGACUUUUGCCAAACCUUCAAAGGACAGAUCAUUACAAUUUUACACAAACCAUUCCACAGUAUAUUCCACUUAUAUACUGUGGAAUUAGCCCUUACUGCCCUUACCAAAUUUAACAUCAAGGUUACAGAAGCUUAAUAUUACUGCCCUGAUUUUAUUAGGGCAAUAAUGAUUUGAUAAGGGCAGUAAGAAUUACAGCCCUGUCAUAUUCGCAAGGACAAAAAUCCUAAAUAAAACAGACCUCAGAAAAUGUGUUUUUAAGAAAAGAUAAUAAAACAUGAUCAGGUUGAAUUUAACCCAGGAAUGUAUUUUAUUAUAUUAAGAGAUUAGAAAAACUAUCUGGCUAUCUGAACAGAUGCAGGAAAAGAAAACUAUUUGAAAAAAUUAACAGACAUGGAUAAACCUUUGGGCAAAUUAGAAUUGUGUAGAACUUCCUUGAGCCAAUAAAACCUACAACAACAAUAUUUUAAGAUGAAGUAUUUGAAGCAGUCCAUUAGAAUCAGGAACAAGUACUAUGUUGGAGAUCCUAGCCAGCAUUAUAAGGCAAGAAAAACAAAAGAUUAAAAAUUGGAAAUAAACAUAACUUAGUCUACAGAUAAAUUAUUGAAGAGCUUUGCAAGGAUUCUGAAUAUACUAUUGAUAUGGUUUGGAUCUGUGUCCCUACCCAAAUCUCAUGUUGAAUUGUAAUCCCCAAUGUUGGAGGUGAAGCCUGGUGGGAGAUUGGAUCGUGGGAAUGGGUUUCUCAUUAGUGGUUUAGUACCAUCCUCUUGGUACUGUCCUUGAAAUAGUUCUCAGGAGAUCUGGUAAUUUAGAAUUGUGUGGUACCUCUCCCCCUCUCUUGCUCUUGCUCCCCCUUUGCCUUCCACCAUGAUUGGAAGCUUCCUGAAGCUGCCUCAGAAGCAGUGGCCACUGUGCUUCCUGUACAGCUUGCAGAACCAUGAGCCAAUUAAACCCCUUUUCUUUAUAAAUUACUCAGUCUCCAGUAUUUAUAGCAAUGUGAAAACAGAUAAAUGUGACUAUCAAUAUACAAAAGUGAAUUGCAUCUCUCCAGCAGAAAUGAACUGUUGGAAAAUGAUUUUUGUAACAUACCAUUUACUAUAUUCCUUUAAAAAUAUAAAUUAGGUAACUUAACAAAAGGUAUAGAAGACCUUUGUAGAAAAUACAAAACUUUAUUGACAGGCAUUUAAAAAUGUCUAAUUUUAAAAUUGCCAUGUUCAAUUAUUAAAAGACUCGAGUUAAGAUGGCAGUUCUCCACUACACAAUGAAGGUAAUUGCAAUACAAAUCCCAAAUGAGUUUUUCAAGGAGCUUGACAAACUGAUUCUAAAGUCUGUAUGACAAAGAGCAGAAUUCAGGGUACGCCAGAAGCAGAUUUCAAAUAGAAUUGACUUGUAGAUAUUCGUAACAGCAAAAAAAUAAAAACAACUCAAAUAUCCAUCAAAAGAUAAAAUGUUUAUCCAUGAAAAGAUACUCAAAAAGUGAUGCAUUUAUAUAAUGGGAUAUAUUUGGCUGCAAAAAGUAAUGAACUACUAAUAACCUGCUAUAAUGUGGAUAAACCUUGAAAGCAUGCUGAAAUAAAGAAGCCAGUCACAAAAGACCACGUAUGAUUCCAUUUAAAUAAAAUGUAUAAAGCAGAAAAUGUAUUGAGACAAUAGAUUGUGGUUGUUUAGGGCUUACAAAGUUUGGGGUGAUGGGGGCCCGAGGUAGUGAUAGCUAAAGGGUGCAGUUUCUUUUUGAGGCAAUAAAGUUCUAAAAUGUAUAGCUGCACGUUUCUGUAGAUAUACUAAAAUCAAUUCAGUUGUGCACUUUAAAUGAGUAAAUUGGUAUGUGAAUUGUACCUCAAUAAAUCUGUUAAAACCGUAGUAAUUAGGAUAUUGUAAUACUGGCUUAGAGAUGGAAAAAUUGAUUUAUAAGGAAUCUUGAUUGUAAGGAAUCUUGACCUAUGGCAGAGAUGGCAUUGCAUACCAGCAGGGAAAGCUAGAGCAUUUCAAUAGAUGAUGCUGGAUAUUCAUAUGGGGGAAAAAUGAAAUUGGUCCUCCCUACCUAACACCAUACAGAAAAAGUAGUUUCAGAUGACUUUAAGAUGUAAGUGUGAAAGGAAAACAUAUUAAACCUUCAAAAGAAAGAUUGCAAAACAUUUUUAUGAUCUUAUGGUAGGGAAAUGUAAUAUGUAUAAAGGAAAAUGUGUAUGUCCAAUAUGUUAAAGUUAAAAACCUCUGUUCAAAAGACUCCAUAAACCCUCGGAAUAGCGGUUAAUUUCAGUCAUGCCCAGGAAACAUACAAGAUGAGCCUGGAAUACCUUGUUGUGCAAGAUAGCAAGGAAGCUAUUAGAGACUACAAGGGUGUCAUAUCAAAUGGACUCAGGAGACAACUGAAAAGCAUCCUUCUGGCCAUAGAUUAGACCAUUUGAGUGUCAAUAAGGACAGUAAAUGCAAUGGAUUGGAACAUAUCAAGUGUCUUUAAAUCUGAGUACAUAAUGAUUGUAAAACAAACAGCAUUUAGUUGGUCAACAGUAGAAGAUGCUGUUGCAUCAAUUCGUUAUUUUGAAAACCAGUUUUGUUUUGUUUUUAAAGUAAUUAGGCAUUUGUCCUGCCUUUUGUAUGUGAACUGUAAGUAACCACAUAGUAGAUGAGGAGAGGGUUCUCUUUGUACAUGUAUUCUAGCUCAUAAAUGGAGGAAUGAUAGAAAAUUGCCAUUUUGAAAUUCCUAAUGAACAAAUGGAUUUAUUUAUUGCAUUUCAACAGCUGCUAACAUGACAGACAAGAAAACAUGUUUCUUAAUGGAAAAACACCACUACUGAUUUUAAAAUCUUAUCAAAAAUUUGACCCUGAUACUAAUCAGGUCUUUAGAUCCAUCCAAUUUGCAGAAAAUAUAAACACCAUUAAAACCUUAAGCCAAUGAAACCUACCACAACAUAAUAGUUUGGAAUGGAAAAUAUAAAUGAAAAAUCCAAUUUUGGAGAAUAUUGGGACAAAUUAAUUUCGACAAAUAUGUUGCAGGAGAAAAGGAGAGGAGAAGGACAAGUGGAGAAAACCGUAGAUUACAAGAGACUUAGUUCAAUAUGAAGCAACCUGUGAACUUGCAUUAGUUAUCUUACUGUAUAACAAAUCACCCUAGCUUAAAUCUAAAAAUAUUUAUACACUUUCUUAGGAUCCACAGGUGGUUUGGCUAGAUAUUCUGGCCCAAGGUCUAAUGAAUUUGCAGUCAAGAUGUUGGCUGGGCUCUAGUCUGAAAGUUUGACUGGUGUUAGAGGAUCCACUUCCUAGAGGGCUCAUUCAUAGAGCUGCGUGUGUUUUCUCAAAACAUGGCAACUGGCUUUCUCUAGAACAGGUGAUCCAAGAGAGACAGAAACCAUGAUCAUUCAAAGUGAUAUAACAUUACUUCUAUUAUAUAAUGUUAGUCACACAAACAUUUCCCUGACAAUAUAUGGGAGGAGAUUACACAAGAGCAUGAAUACUGGGAAGCUGGCUGUCACAAUUUGGCUCCAAUGAUUGAUAGUUCUUGAUUUGCAAAAUAUAUUCAUCCCCUCCAAAAGCUCUCCAAAGCUCUCAUCUUAUAACACCAUUAGUUCAAAGUCUGGAAAUCUGAGUCAGUUCCAACUGUGGAUCACACUCAUAGGUGUACUUAAGUACAGCUCCUCAAGAAGAGUUCUUUUUGAUCUGAAGACCCAUACACUAAAGACACAGUCUCUGCUUCCACAUGUAAUAGAAAAUGAAUAGGAUAAUAAAUGUGGACAUGUAUAUUUAAAAAGAGGGAAUAUCAGAGGUACAUAGGUUCACAGAAAUUCUGAAACCCACCUGGGCACAGAUUGGCAGUUCCUUGGUCAAGUUUCAAGGCCUAGAAUUCUCUUAGCUCUGCCUUCUGGGAUCUUAGAUCUACUCACUGAGUCACCCUUUUUCUUGUUUACAGUUCUGCCUGCUUUCUGCCUAUAGAAGCUUGGAUGUCCCACAAGCUUCCUUCCAUUUGGUUCUCUCUGUGCCUUUCAGUCCAGGCUGGCCGUGUUUCUGCUAAUAGACUUCUCUUAAAAACUUUGUGGCUCACUUGUGAAUUUUGAGUUCACUCCAUUAGACAAAAGCAACAACCACACAUCUCUUCCCACAUAAACUCUACCUCAAGCUUUUGCUGAUGAAAAUACCCUUAAACUUUUUAAAAACCUGUGAUGUUAUUCAGAGAUUUUCUGAGACACAUUGUUUGUCUGAUGAAAAUACUCUAAGGCACAAUUUAAGAUCUUUCUGAGCUAUUAAAGGACUUUAUAACUACGGCCUCAACUUUAUGUUUCACUGGCAGUGCCCUAGAUUUGCUUUUUGCUCAGAGACAUUCCCCAAUUUUAGCAUCAUUUGUCAUCUGCACAGGCUGGGAAUCUUCAAAUCCAGCAAGUUUUGACUUGUUUUUGUUUGUUUGUUUGUAAUAGAGUCUGUUUUUUGCUGUGUUGGCCAGGUGAUCUUAGACUCCUGGCUUCAAGCAUUCCUCCCACCUCAGCCUCCCAAAGUUCUGGGAUUUUAGGUAUAAGCCACCAUGCCCAGCCAUGGCUCCUUUUUGUUUAACAGUCCUUCCUUUGACGGUCUCUCUUCUCACACAUUUUACUAUAAGCAACAAGAAAAAAUACACAUGAAAUAUUUAACACUUGGCUGACAAUCUCCUUUGCUAGAUCAAUCAGUUAAUUAGGCAUUUUUUCUACUUUGUAUGUAUCUGUGGAUAACAAAUUUGCUAAACUUUCUGCCAUUAUGUAACAAGGAUCUCCUUCCCUCUAGUUUCCAAGAGAAGUUUUCUAAUCUGUUAAGAUGUCACCUACAGCCUCCUCAAAGGUUAUCUAUUAUGCUUCUAUAAAAAAUGUCUUCAAAGCUCUUCAAACUUUCGUUAACACUGUCCUCCAAGUUCUACCUCCUGCUCACUGCCUCAAAACCACACUUACAUUUUAGGUUUUUGCUAACACCCCACUUCUGAGUACCAAAAUGUAUACUAAUUUUGUAUUGCUGCAUAAUAAAUUGCCCCAAAAUACAACAUGUAAAGCAAUAAAUAUUCAUUAUCUCAUGUAGUGUCUGAAGGUCAAAAAUCCAGAAGCAGCAUAGCUGAGUGGUUCUGAUUCAUUGUCUCUUGUGAAGUUAUCAGUCAAACCAUCAGCUGAGACUGUAAUCAUCUGAUGUUUUAACUAGUACUAGAGGAUACACGUUCACAUGCUAUUGGCAGGACACUUUAGUUCUUCACUAGCUAUUUAGCAGAAUACCACACUUCCUCACCACAUGUACCUCUUCAUAGAGCUUCCUGGCUUCCUCUAAAACAAGUAAUCCAAGAGAGAGAAGCAGAAGCCACCAUGGUUUUUUAUGCCAUUUUUGACCUAGCCCCCAAAGUGAUAUAUUAUUACACAGAUAGGUAGCCAACCUGUGGGUCACUGAUACGGUUUGGAUGUGUGUCCCCUCCAAAUCUCAUGUUGAAAUGUGAUUCUCAAUGUUGGAAGUGGGGCUGGUGAUAGGUGUUUGGUUCAUGAGGGUAGAUCCCUUAUGAAUGGCUUGGUGCUGUCCUUGCGGCAAUGAGUGAGUUCUCACUAUGUGAGUUCACACGAGAGCUGGUUGUUUAAAAAAGCCUGUCAUCUCUUUUGCUCCCUUUCUCACCAUGUGAUAUGCUGUUCCCCUUCUCUUCUGCCAUGAUGAAAAGCUUCCUGAGGCCUACAACCAGAAGCAGAUGCUGGUGCCAUGCUUCUACAGCCUGCAGAACUCAGAGCAACUGGGAACCGAAUUCUGACCAACAAGGAGGAAUUGUUUGGCUAAUUGGAAGUGACAGAAACCUUGGGAGAAAGCAACCGCAUACCAAGGAUAAUUGUAAGAAGGUAACAUGGGCCCUAAAGGAUAGUGUCAAGAAACCUGAAACCCCCAAAUGAGGUGAGACUUGCAAAAAAUGCUAAGGAAGGACAAAGAACAGACCUUUUAAAAUUCUGUUCAGAACCAGAAGAUGAUCAAGAAAGGGAAACGCCCACUAGCAGCUUCUACUGUAAGGUUAGAGCUGACAGAGAAAGAACUCCUUAGCUACUAUUUGCUACAUUCUCUACAAAGGAAACUAGAGAAGUGGUUUGACAUAAUAGAACAUGUGUUUGUGGGGCCAGGCAAACCUGGGUUUAAUUCUGUUUCCACACUGUUUAACAAAAUUUAUGGGAGGCUAUUGUUUUGGAUUGGGCUCCUGCACUAGGCCCCUCCAGAUCAAACCAAAAUGGAGUCACUCAUACUAAAACUCCAGGUCACCAAACCAAAACUAAGUUGUUUAUCUGACCUUCCAAGAAAUCAGAAGGGAGAAAACAACCACAUCUCCAAACAGGCCAAUUUUAAUCAGCGUGAUAAGGAAGUCCUCUCUUUUUUAACCCUAUAAAGAAAGUAACUUUUUGAAAUGAUCAAUACACUUUUUAUUCCUUAGUUCUGCUUUCUUUAGCCCCUUUCUGCCUAUAAAGCCGACUUCCUCAGCUCAACUUACUGAAGCAGUAUUCUAUUUUAUAGAAUGAGAUGCUGCCCAAUUCUAGAAUCACUAAUAAAAGCCAAUUAGAUCUUUACAUUUGUUGAAAUUUUGUCUUUGACAACAUUACUAGUUAUAUUAUUCUGGGUAUCCUUUUCCCCAUCUGUAAAAUGGACAUAGCGAUAUCUUUCCCAUAGGAUUUUUCUCAUUAAUAGAAAUAAUACAUUCAAAACACUGAGCCAGGCUCACACCAAUGAGCAACUUGUUAAUAUUACUCAAAAGCAUAUUAUAGAUACUGACAGAAAGCAAUACUGUUCCUAAUUAGGGAAAGAAAUUCUAAGAGAGUACCUAACCAGUUUGAAUUUAGAUUAUAACCUUUGCUCUGAGUAUUUUACAUUACAGCCUUUUUGGGGAAAAGUACAAAUGAGAUCUGAGAACAGUGGUACUCAUCUUUGAGGAAUUAUGGAAAAUGUAAUAGAACACUAAACAUGGGAAAACAUUAGCCUUCAGGUUGAAAAGUGGAAAUCUCAAUCCCUGAAUUUUUUUUUUUUUUUUUUUUACUAAGUAACUUUUUUGCCCAUUGGUGUCAUUUAACCAAAAGGAGAAAUUCCAAAAAAAAAAAUCAACUGAAACAAAAGAAUAGACUGAAUUUGCCAAAGGAGUGCUUAAAAUGGAGACCUAAGUCUUCAAAGCUAAGGUGAUGAGAAAAGAACAGGUCUUAAAUUUCUUCAGAGCUUCAAGAGGCAAAGCUUGAAAGAAGAAAAAAUUUUAUUCUUAGGUAAGAUGUAGGGGUAGAAUGGUGGCCCCUGCAAAAGGUAAGCCUUCCUCCUAAUCCUAGAAUCGUGGAUGGUACCUUAUUUGGAUAAAAAGGUCUUUGCAGAUGUAAUUAAGAACCUUGAGAUGAGGAGAUCAUCCUGGAUUAUCUGGUGGACUGUAAAGUCAAUGACAUGUAUUCAUAUAUGACAGAAGAGAAGACAUGGAGAAGAGGAGGGGAUAGUUGUGACUGUGGAGGCAGAGAAUGGAGUAAUGUGAUCAUAAAUCAAGGAAUGCUGACAGCCACUAAAGCUGGAGAAGGCCAAGGACAGAUUUCCAAUCCUCCCGCAGAAGUACAGCCCUGCUAAUGCAUUGAUUUUGGACUUCUGGCCUCAGAACUGUAAGAGAAUAAAUUUCUAUUGUUUUAAACCAUCAGUUUGUGGUAAUUUGUUACAGAAGCCCUGUAAAGUUAAUACACAGAGUUCAAAGAGAAUCCAGUAAUAUCUCUAAGAGACUUGUGUAUUAGGGUUCUCCAGAGAAGCAAAGCCAAUAGAAUGAUACAUGUUGUUAAAGCAAAUUAAAAUGGAGACCAUGCCUGAAGAAUCUCUGUGCAGACAAACCCAGUUAGGCCUCAUAAGUUAACCUUGCUUGAUUUGCAAGCAUAAUCUAAAACUUAACUGGAGCUAUUUCCGGUAAAUGAAUAUAACACAGAACUUAAGCUCAAUCAGUCAGAAGCAGCUUUAUAAUUAUGUAGCUAGGGACUUUCCAAGAGGAUGACCAAAGAAGGAAAUGAUAUAACUGUAACCAAUCAAAUAUUUUCUUUGCUUUCAUGUUCCUCCUAUAAAAGCCUCCCCACUGCAUUCCUUCAGCAGAGCUCCCAAACCACUUCUGGUUUAGAGUUGCCCAAUUUGUGAAUCACUGUUUGCUCAAAUAAACCUUUAAAAUUUUAUUGUACCUCAGCUUAUCUUUUUUAGAUAGAUGAUAGGUAGGUAGGUAGAUAGAUAGAUAGAUAGAUAGAUAGAUAAUUUAUUAUGGGAAUUGGCUCAAUCACAGAGACCCAAGAUCUGACAUCUGCAAGCUGGAGAACCAGGAAAGCCAGUGGUAUAAUUAAGUUCAAGUUCAAAGGGCUGAGAACCAGGAGAAUCAAUAACACCCAAUGUAAGCCCUGAGAAUGUAGGGUAGGGAUGCUAGUAUAAGCCCUAGAGUUUGACUGCUGCAGAACCAGGAGCUCUGAUGUCCAAGGGUAGGAGAAGAUGGAGGUCCCAACUCAAGAAGAAAGCAAAUUCACCUUUUCUUUGCCCUUUUUGUUCUAUUUGGGCAGGCCUCCAGUGAAUUGGAUGAUGCCCACCCACACUGGUAGAGCAGAUCUUUAGUCAGUCUUGAUUCAAAUGCUAAUUUCUUCACAGAGGCACACAGAAAUAUUGUUUUAUCAUCUAUCUGGAUAGCCCUUAACACAGCCAAGUUGACACAUAAAAUUAACCAUCACAAUUAGGUUUCCUAGGUUGGAGGGAAUGGGAGAUAAUGAAAUGGGUGCUGGAGGGUAGAGGAGGUCUGAGGGACUUCUUGGUGGGACAAUGUGAACCAGAAUGGAAUGAGCAAAUUACACACCCCACAGUUUCUGCUCUGACAGAGAUUGCCAGAGUUUGAAAUAGACCUGAUAGGGUUACUGCAGGUAACCGGGAAGUCAUGUGGCAGCCAAGCUAAUAUCCAAAGAUCACCCAAAGAGUAUUUCAUGUGAUCAGAGAACCGGGAAGUCAUGUGGCAGCCAAGCUAAUAUCCAAAGAUCACCCAAAGAGUAUUUCAUGUGAUCAGAGAGAGUCUCUGUUUAAUUGACAACUGCUUCUCACGUCCCAUCCCCUUCAUGUGUAGCAGGAGUCACAGCUGUCUGUAUGCAGGUACUUUACUCGACCCUAUCCAAACUACUAAUAGGAAAAAGUACUUUUUCAGUAGUCUAAGUAGUCACAAACCCUAAGAAAUACAGAAAAGAUUAUGGACAUCUACGGGAGUGCCAGUGAUAUAAAAUGAUAAUCUGUGUCACAUGGAAACCCUCCCAAAUAAAUAAUCUUUAUUUGACUAGGACUUUAUUCAUUCAACUGAGAUUCUCCAACACCCCUGAUAACCAGCCAGGACCGUGCUGAUCCUAGGCAACAAUCUAAAAGGAAUAAUUAAAGGAUGCUGUGGGAGCAUCUAUAAGAGAAAGCAGUAAUCAAUCGAAUACAGCACGGGUUUAUCUAUAAUAAUUUAUUUCAGUCUAAUUUAAUUUUCUUUCUGAUAGUGUUACUAGGCUAGUCAACCAAUAAAAUGCAAUAGGUAAUAUUUUUCUGGGCCCAUGAGGUAUUAGUGACUUUUUUUUUUUAUCAUAUCCUUGUAAGUUGGAGGGGUUGGGGAGGCUAGAUGGUAGUACUGUCAGAGAAGGACUUAGCAUCCAAAGCGUACUGACUCCUAGAUGGCAGUCAGCCUCUCCAGAGGUUUUUAGUAUAGAAGUACAGUCCUGGGUCAUCUGUGUUUCAUUGACUUAAAAGAAAACAUAGAAUACAUAUUUAUCACAUUUUUACCUGAUUCAAAAUCAGGAAGGAUAGUAUUUUUUCCAAACUUUGGAACAGCUUGAUGUUGACUCUGGGCUAAAUUCUAUAUGGGCAUAAUUAGAAUCAAUAAAAUUUUGAGAGUCUAUAACAAUAUAGGCAGAGUCCAACAAACUAGUAGGAUUUUUAAGUUUAUUCACUCAUUUAGAUGUCACAAAUUUCUGGAAUAUCAACUCUGCGUAAAUGUCUAUGUUAGGCUUUAGAAUAUGAAUAAGGUAUGUUGGAUUGCAGGAGUUUAAAAUCUGGUGAAUAAAACAAACGUAAACAGAUAAAAUAUAACAAAUAUUAAUUGUAAGGCACUAUAUUUAGCAUUAUAUUUAGUAAAAAAUAAAAACUACAUUUAAUUGUAUGAUAUGGACAGGCACUGGCAUGUGUGAAAUACCUUUAGACAUUUAAUAAGCUGGAAAAAAUAAUAUUUACCCUAAACAUGUACUACUGGUGCAAACAUAAAAUAGCAAUUUUGUAGAAAGUUCUUAUGUGCAAGCCAUACUAUUUAAUGCAGCAAUUUCCUUCUAAGAAUCUACUUUAAAAAUAAUCUAAAAUAUAUUCAUAAUGUUAUAUAUAUAAGGAAGUUUAUAAUCAAAUUAUUUAUAAUGGCAAAAAAGUUUAACAUGAAUGAUUAAAAAGAUAGUAUAGGCAUACGAUAGUGUCAUAAUCAUAAACAGUUGUGUCUUUAAAAAAGGGGUGUCUGAAAUAUGUCACAUUAUAGAAUAGCAUGUUAUAGUCAACUAGAAGUCUGGUAAAAAUGAUUUUUUUACUGUAAAACCUCUUGAAUGUUUUGAAUUUUGUGUCAUGUGCAUGUAACACAUUCAAAAAAUAAACAAUUUUAAAAUAAAGGAUUCAACUUAAAUUUUAAAAAUACACUUACAGAUAGUUUUUAAUGAUAUAAAGAAAUACUCAUACUAAGUGAAAGGCAAGGACAUUACAUUAUUUCUUGCAGUAGUUAUGAAUAAUUGGAAAAUGUAUAUACUCUGGCUGUAUUACUAGGAAUAUUUUCUUCUGUAUUUUGCACCAUAAGAAAUCUAGGACUGGUUUACAUAAAAGCAAGCAGAAUGAUGAAGAAACUCACCUUAAGAACGGUUGAAUGAAAAUGUUUAACCUGGAAUAUAUAUAUAUGAGAUCAUGAUGACUGUCUUCAAGCAUCUGAUGUCCUGCCGUGUGAAAGAGUGAUCACGCUUCCACUGGAAGGUCUCAGAGGAUGGAACUAGACCCAUUGGCAGGAGCUAUAGCAAGCCAUUUCAACUCGAUGUCAAAAUACUUGCAGACUUAGUCACUUGCUUAUAUGUCAUUUCAGUUCAAUGUCAGGAAACACAUCCAAAAAGAACAGGGCAAAAAAUGAGUGGUUUCCCAGUCACUUGAAAGAUUCAAGCAUAAAUUAUCACUUCCUUGAUAGGAUAUUAUGAAAGAGAUUCAAGCAUCAGAAGUGUGGUUUUUGGGUGUGAUUCCAGCUGUACAAGAAGCCAUUUAAUCCCCCUGGAAAUUAGUUCUCUGCAAAAUGGGAAAGUUUGAAUAAAGUACCUCUAUUUCUUUUUGAGUUUUAAACUCUUUUGAUUCUGCUUUGGAGUAACAACAUUUUUCUCUCUUCCAGAUUUAUGUAUCAGUUCUUUAUCAAUUGAAAUAAACCACCCUGGGCCGGGUGUGGUGGCUCACACCUGUAAUCCCAGCACUUUGGGAGGCCGAGGCAGGUAGAUCAUUUGAGGUCAGGAGUUCAAGGCCAGCCUGACCAACAUGGUGAAACCGCAUCUCUACUAAAAAAUACAAAAAUUAGCCCGGCGUUGUGGCAGGCCCUUGCAAUCCCAGCUACUCAGGAGGCUGAGGCACAAGAAUUCCUUGAACCUGGGAGGUGGAGUUUACAGUGAGUCAAAACCAAGCCACUGCACUCCAGUCUGGGCAACAGAUUGAGAGUCUGUCUCAAAAAAAAUAAAUAAAUAAAAUAAAUAAGCCACACUGUACUUGUGAAGAUUAAUUGAGAUGUUUAAAAUAUUAUUUGCAAAAGUGCAAGACAUGAUGUAAGUGUAAAGCAUUAUUAGAUAUCAACAUAAUUGACCAAUAGAAAAAUGCAAAUUAACACCUCAAUGAGAUAUCACCAGACACCUGUUAGAAUGGUUAAAAUAAAAAGUACUGAUGAUAUCAACUGCUGACAAAAUGCAGAGUAACUAGAUCUCUCAUACAUUGCUGAUGCUAAUGUAAAAUGAUACCACCACUCUAGAAAACAGUUUGGCAGUUUCUUAUAAAGUUAAACAUGCACUUACUAUACAACCCAGUAAUACAACUACUGGAUAUUCAUUCUAGGGAGAUCAAAAUUUACACACAAAAACGUAUGUAAAUGUUCAUAUCAGCUUUAUUUGCAAUAGCCCAAAAUGAAACAAUCAGAUCUCCUCCAAUUGAUAACUGGUAUAACCCUAUCAUGAAAUCCUACUGAGCAAUAAAAAGGAAAGCACUAUUGAUACAUACAACAACUUGAGUGCAUCUCAAGGCUGUUAUGCUGACUGAAAUAAAAGCUAAUCUCAAAAGGUUAUGUAUUAUGUGAUUCUAUUUAUAUAACAUUCUCAAAAUGGCAAAAUCACAGCAAUGAAGAACUGAUCAGUAGUGCCAGGUGCUAGGGUUGUGGGGAGGGUGUGACCAUGAAUGGGCAGCAUAAGAGAAUUUCUUUGGAGUGAUGGAGUAGUUUUAUAUCUUGAUUGUGGUGAUCAUUAUAUUAAACAAUUGCAUGUGAUUAUAUAGGACUGUAUGCCAAAAAUAAAUUAAUAUGUUUAUUUUUAAGGUCUGGAAAGCAUGGAAAUUUGUAUCUUCGUUCACUUUUGUUUUCAUGGACUCUUUUCAUGUUUGAACUUUUCAUGGUAUGAGGUGUCUUAUAAUCUAUAAUAUGGAAUGUUUCUCAUAUGAAUGUUUUUCUUAUUGAAGAAUGCCAUAGAAAUAAGGGUGUGAGGUAUACUUACUUGACAGGGGAAUUUUACUCGUUUUAUUUUAUUUACUUAUUUAUUUUUAAGACGGAGUCCUGCUAUGGUGUCUAGGCUGGUCUUGAACCCCUGGACUCAAACAAUCCUUCUGCUUGGCCUCCCAAAGUUCUGGGAUUACAGGUAUGAGCUACAGUGCCCUGAGAGUCCUUUUUAAAGUAGUGAAUGCUCAAAUGUGGAAUUAAAUUUAGGCAAAGCUCACUUUUAUUUAUACAUAAAACAACUUCAGCCAUGUACCUCGUAACGAUAUUUUGGCCAAUGCCUGACCUUAUAUACAAUGGUUGUCCCGUACGAUUAUAAUGAAGCUGAAAAUUUUCUAUUGCCUAGUGACAUUGUAGUAAUUGUAAUGUAGCACAACACAUUGCACGUGUUUGUAGUGUUGCUGGUGUAAACAAACUUACUGCAUUGCCAGUCUAGUAUAAAAGUCUAGCACACACAAUUAUCCACAGUAUAUAAUACUUGAUAAUAAACAACUGUCACUGGCUUAUAUAUUUGCUAUACUAUACUUUUUAUCAUUAUUUUAGAGUAUAUUUCCUAUACUUAUUAAAAAAAAAAGUUAACUGUUAAGCAGCCUUAGGCAGGUCUUUCAGGCGGCAUUCCAGAAGAAGGCAUUGUUAUCAUAGGAGGUGACGGCUCCCUGUGUGUUGUUGCCCCUGAAGAACUUCCAGUGGGACAAGAUAUGGUGGUGAAA